UCCUGACGUUCCCCGCGAAUUUUUAUCCACGCCGCUCCGCCAAAUCCACUCAUUUUCCACACGUACCUGACAUGCGGCAUUUGCGGAGAGAAAUGGGCAAAAGAAAAUCGUGUUUUGCUCGGGAUGUGGAUUUGUACACGUUUAUUUAUUUUUUUGUCUUUUGAACCGAGUGGGUUUGAUAGCGGGACAACUUUCCUGCACGACGCAGGGACAGGCACAGACAACAAUAGAUUAUAAAACAAUCUGCUGCAGUUCAGCUGCAAGGUGAACGACCGGAUGACGAGGUGGAUGUUUUUGGCAUUUUUUUUCACAUCCAACAAAAUCCCGUGUGACAAAGCGACGCAUGUCGGCUGCGUGCCGCUCAGAAAACCCACGGAGAGCCCCGCCGUCCUACCUGCCAUAUGCCAUUUCCACACCGAGGUCAUCCGAGGAGAGCAGCGGGUGCAGGAAAAAUGGGAGAGGUACAGGAGGUGUUUUUUUUUUUUUUUUUAUUUCUUUGGGUGGGGUUUUUGUCUCGCUUUAUUGCGGCCACGUUUUGCGCGCACGCCAUUUUUACCGUGCGCUUUUACGCACAGCGACACAGACUGAACGGAGGAGUGGUGAAGACAAAAGAAAAGGCAAAGAGCACCGGGGGCCAAGCGCUGGUUGAGGUAGUAGUUUGUGCUGUUGGUCGGGUUGUCAUAUUACCCCUAUGUGGAGAUGACUGCGCAAUCUACUGCCUUGCUGGCGCUGGUGACUUGCGUCAGAGGAGUCGAACGGAUCCAACUGAAUGACUGAGCUCACUGUGUAGUCGGUAAACAGAACACAUUAAACUGAGAUGGAUAUGCUUUCAAAAUAAUCACCUCUCCAUUGUUGUGCGUAAAUUGUCAGAACGUGUGAACUGGGACAGAUAUGUUCGAAUGGAACCCGUGUAAAGCUAGAAUAUCUGCUACUACAUUUUAAAAUAAAGUGAUUUAUUUGGUAUGUUGAUGGUA